CCACGCCCGGGCCGAGGUGAGAAGGCACGGGCGCCAUGGCCGCGGUCCCGCGGGGUUUCCCUUGGCCAUCACACCAGGUAGCGUGUGUUGUGGUAAUCCAGAAGCUGCUCCAGAGGCCCCAACGGCGUCCCAGUCAAGCCUGGGGUCACUGACAUGUAAAAGGAUCCCGGCUCCAAAGGUUCAGGGAAGUGGGCAGGACAUACAGAUUCCACAUCUCUGAGCCAGAGAAGAUCAGAGUGAUAAUAUAUGAGAAGAACAACUCUGCAGACAUCAAGGUCAGUGAAGAAGGAAAGGCAGGAGGUGCUCCAG